rnacentral:rRNA from 1 species
UACGUAGGAGGCGAGCGUUGUCCGGAAUUACUGGGCGUAAAGAGCGCGUAGGCGGCGCGGUACGACCGCUGUGAAAGCCCCCAGCUCAACUGGGGAGGGUCAUCGGUAACGGUCGUGCUAUGAGUGCAGGAGAGGGAAGUGGAACUCCGGGAGUAGCGGUGAAAUGCGUAGAGACCCGGAGGAACACCAGUGGCGAAGGCGGCUUCCUGGUCUGCGACUGACGCUGUGGCGCGAAAGCUAGGGGAGCAAACGGG